rfam:Gorilla gorilla gorilla genomic chromosome, chr2A, whole genome shotgun sequence
GCCAGGUAUCGUGGCGUGCACCUGUAGUUCCAGCUAGCUGGGAGGCUGAGGCAGGAGGAUUGCUUGAGCCCAGGAGUUUGAAGCGACAGUGUGCUAUAAGCACACCUGUGAAUAGCCAUUGCACUUCACCCUGGGCAACAUAGUGAGACCCUAUCUCUA